rnacentral:rRNA from 1 species
CUCUCGCGUCAGGAUAUGCCCAGGUGGGAUUAGCUAGUUGGUGAGGUAAGGGCUCACCAAGGCGACGAUCCCUAGCUGGUCUGAGAGGAUGAUCAGCCACACUGGAACUGAGACACGGUCCAGACUCCUACGGGAGGCAGCAGUGGGGAAUAUUGCACAAUGGGCGCAAGCCUGAUGCAGCCAUGCCGCGUGUGUGAAGAAGGCCUUCGGGUUGUAAAGCACUUUCAGUCGUGAGGAAGGUG